UAUUCCAAUGGGCUAGAGCGCGGAUCCUUAAAAGCAUGGAACAGCACCAUUUUUUGCACAAUGAAUUUAAAACCCUUUUUUCAUCCUUUUUUCCCAAAUGCUGCCAAUCUUCCAAACAAAGAACCACAGCCCCAAAAUUAAAAUUGCUAGGGUUCUUUACAUCUGCCAGAUUCACCAUUUUGUUUGGCAAUCGACAGUAUAUAAAUAGAUCCAUGCCACGUCCAUGAAAAUGUCGUACGGAGAAGAUGACCUGGGGAUCUCACGUAAGAAGCCGUUCCUCUGGUGCCCUUCCAGUGCAUUCCAAGAGCUUUCUUGACUGCUGGAAUUUUUCCUUUUUGGGCUCUUUCGGGUUUGGGCUAGAUUUAGGAUAUGGGUUAAUUAGAAUUGGGUUUUAGGACUUAUUGGGUUAUAGGUUAUUUUGGUAAUUGGAUUGGGUGUUUUUUUAGUAUUGUAAAUGGACUUUUUGGACUAUUUAGUCUUGGACUUUAUUCAUUUAUUUCGGUUUAUUUAUUUGCAAAUAAAUUAAAUGGGCCCAGGCAAAAUUGGUUGACUACAA